rnacentral:rRNA from 1 species
CCUACGGGUGGCUGCAGUGAGGAAUAUUGGUCAAUGGCCGUUAGCCUGAACCAGCCAAGUAGCGUGAAGGAUGACUGCCCUAUGGGUUGUAAACUUCUUUUAUAUGGGAAUAAAGUGUUCCACGUGUGCUUGUUUGCAUGUACCUUAUGAAUAAGGAUCGGCUAACUCCGUGCCAGCAGCCGCGGUAAUACGGAGGAUCCGAGCGUUAUCCGGAUUUAUUGGGUUUAAAGGGAGCGUAGGCGGGUUGUUAAGUCAGUUGUGAAAGUUUGCGGCUCAACCGUAAAAGUGCAGUUGAAACUGGCAGCCUUGAGUACAGUAGAGGUAGGCGGAAUUCGUGGUGUAGCGGUGAAAUGCUUAGAUAUCACGAAGAACUCCGAUUGCGAAGGCAGCCUGCUGGACUGUAACUGACGCUGAGGCUCGAAAGUGUGGGUAUCAAACAGGAUUAGAUACCCGGGUAGUC